AACGAACGCUGGCGGCAUGCCUAACACAUGCAAGUCGAACGAGGCCUUCGGGUCUAGUGGCGCACGGGUGCGUAACGCGUGGGAACCUGCCCUUAGGUUCGGAAUAACUCCCCGAAAGGGGUGCUAAUACCGGAUAAUGUCUUCGGACCAAAGAUUUAUCGCCUUUGGAUGGGCCCGCGUUGGAUUAGCUAGUUGGUAGGGUAAAAGCCUACCAAGGCGACGAUCCAUAGCUGGUCUGAGAGGAUGAUCAGCCACACUGGGACUGAGACACGGCCCAGACUCCUACGGGAGGCAGCAGUGGGGAAUAUUGGACAAUGGGCGAAAGCCUGAUCCAGCAAGGCCGCGUGAGUGAUGAAGGCCUUAGGGUUGUAAAGCUCUUUUACCCGGGAUGAUAAUGACAGUACCGGGAGAAUAAGCGCCGGCUAACUCCGUG
rnacentral:rRNA from 1 species